CAAAUGCUGAGAAGUGACUGGCCCAGGUGGGCAUUGAACACAGAAUUUUGUACCCUGUUCCAAACACCUGAGCCAAUCCCAGGGUUGUUCCAAAGGUCCUGUGUGGGAUGGGAAUGACUGCUGCCAGAAGAAGCAAACAAGACAAGUCCUGAGGGUCACCUUGCUCUGUGGCCCAAGCUCUUCUGGAGAGUGCCAGGGGGCGUUUCCUGCAGGGGAGGAGCUGUGCCUGCACCGUGGCUCCUCGGCCAGGGGCUGCUCUGACUGGGCACGUGGAAAUGCCUCAGCCCAGACAGAGAGCACCAAGAGCCCAGAAGGACCCCAAGGAGCAGCUGGCAUUACCUGGGAAUGGAGGCAGGGGCCAUUUGCAGAGGGGCUCACACAGCAAUUCCUGGUUCAGAGCUCCCACACAGCUGCCAGGGAUGUCCCAGCCACCCCAAAUCCCUUCCCUCCUCCCCAGCCUGAGGCCAUCAUCCAGCAGCAGCAUUAAAGCCAAGGCAAUCUUCCCCCACAGAUAUUAAAUCCCAGGCAGCAGCCCUCAGACAUACCUGAAAAUCAGUGGGAUGGAGUUUGGAGUUUCUCAGGGAUCCAGCUGCAAGUGCAGAAGUGAAGGAAAGCUUUCACAGGUGCCCUGGUGACACCAUGUUGGUCCCUUUGCCUUUCUCCAGCCCGAGGCUGCUCCUCUGCUCGCUCUCUCCAGUCUCAUCCCACAGGGAUCCUCUUCUCCCUUCCCUGCUGGCUGCUGCCAAGGAAGGAGGACACAAUGCUGGACUUCCCUCUGAGGAUGUGUGCUGAGCUCUGGGUGGAGGGGACUGUCAGGCUGAAUGGCUGUGAGUUUGUGUUCUUCUCACUGGGGCAUCAGAAAUGCCCCCAAUCCCUUUUCCCAGGCUGUUCCAUGUGCCUGUGGUCAGGCUGUGGCAGCACAGGCAGACGCAGCUCUCAGCACUCCCUGCUCCAAACACAACUCUGGCCUCCAUUGCAAUCUGUCUCUGCUGGGAGGUUUUCUCCUAGAGAAAUCAAAGAAUUGCUCAUGGCAAUUUGGAGAAUAAAUUUCCACAAAGGGAA